rnacentral:rRNA from 1 species
CUCGCAUCGAUGAAGAACGUAGCGAAAUGCGAUACUUGGUGUGAAUUGCAGAAUCCCGUGAACCAUCGAGUCUUUGAACGCAAGUUGCGCCCGAGGCUAUUUGGCCGAGGGCACGCCUGCCUGGGCGUCA